UGGGGAAUUUUGCACAAUGGGGAAACCCUGAUGCAGCGACGCCGCGUGAUUUAGAAGGCCUUCGGGUUGUAAAAAUCUUUUUUACGGGAUGAAAAUGACAGUACCGUAAGAAUAAGGUCCGGCUAAAUACGUGCCAGCAGCCGCGGUAAUACGUAUGGACCGAGCGUUGUCCGGAAUCAUUGGGCGUAAAGGGUACGUAGGCGGCCUAGUAAGUUAGAAGUGAAAUAAUAUAGCUCAACUAUAUAAAGCUUUUAAAACUGCUAGGCUUGAGAGAUGGAAGGGAAAGUGGAAUUCCUAGUGUAGCGGUGAAAUGCGCAGAUAUUAGGAAGAAUACCGGUGGCGAAGGCGACUUUCUGGUCAUCAUCUGACGCUGAGGUACGAAAGCGUGGGUAGCAAACAGG
rnacentral:rRNA from 1 species